ACAAAGAACCUCUUGCGAAAGCGAAGAAAAAAGGGUUUCCCCUUCCCGCGCUUGUGCUCGUCUCGGUCCUCCCUUUCCUCUUCUUCCAUGGCGGUGAUACGGGAUCUUUGCUGAUCUUGUUGAGCUACCUCUCCUCCUUUCUCGAUGCGAUCACACGCUCUCAGAGCUCUUCCUUUGUUGCAUGUUUUGGCUGUGCAGGACGUGGAAGAAGGAUUCGGGUGCUGAGGCAGCAUAAGACAUCAAAUAAGCUUCAGAAAGAUUCAAGGAUAGGAAGAGACAUGACGGCAAUGAAGGCUGUCAUAGAUUCAAUCACUCUCUCUCUCUCUUUCUCUCUCUCCAAUAAUGGCUUUUAGUGAGAUGCAGCAGUGCCUUCAUCUCAAAAUCUGCAGGUGGGCUCACUGUAGAAGAAAUGCUCUUGAUUAUGUUCGCUGAACUCAAUGUCAAGGCCACAAUCCACUGUAGGAUUUGCUUCAGAGCUCCAGAACUCACCCAUCAUGCUUAUAAUCUCGAUGUGGAUUUGACUCAUCAUUGCUUUGAUCUCCAGAAUUCAGACUCUUUUCAGAAACUACAAAGCUAUUUAGCGGAUUGCAUCUCCCCUAAGGAUUCCAUUUCACAAGGAUAAGAAGCUACUCAUCAUGCUCAAGGUACGCAGACGAAUCAAUGGCUUCUGCUCCCCUAACUCAACCAUGGUUUCGUUUCCUCGGUGCUGACAUCUUUCU